rnacentral:rRNA from 1 species
UAAGCAUGCCGGCAGCCUACACAUGCAGUCGUACCAGUGAGAUAGCGCAGAUCAGCUUGCUGCUUCGCUGACGAGUGGCGGACGGGUGAGUAAUGUCUGGGAAACUGCCUGAUGGAGGGGGAUAACUACUGGAAACGGUAGCUAAUACCGCAUAACGUCGCAAGACCAAAGAGGGGGACCUUCGGGCCUCUUGCCAUCGGAUGUGCCCAGAUGGGAUUACCUAGUAGGUGGGGUAACGGCUCACCUAGGCGACGAUCCCUAGCUGGUCUGACAGGAUGACCAGCCACACUGGAACUGAGACCGGUCCUUACUCCUACGGGAGGCAGCAGUGCGGAAUAUUGCUCAAUGGGCGCCAGCCUGAUGCAGCCAUGCCGCGUGUGUGAAGAAGGCCUUCGGGUUGUAAAGCACUUUCAGCGGGGAGGAAGGCGGUAAGGUUAAUAACCUUGCCGAUUGACGUUACCCGCAGAAGAACCACCGGCUAACUCCGUGCCAGCAGCCGCGGUAAUACGGAGGGUGCAAGCGUUAAUCGGAAUUACUGGGCGUAAAGCGCACGCAGGCGGUC